ensembl:lncRNA
CUGCAGUGGAAGCUCAGAGUCUUAACCACUGGACCACCAGGGAAGUCCUUCCAUAGACCAGAAUUUGAGAUCAUCGAGAAGGAGAAAGACCUUGGAGCUGCUUUCAUUUCUUGCUAAAGCAAGUAUGAGGCUCCGCUGGAGGAGAAAGGAAGAUGCUAUGUGCCUGACGUUCUGGAGCACAGACUCGCAUUCUUCCCUUGGUGAAGUCAUGAAGGAUACAGAGUAGACUCGCAUUCUUCCCUCGGUGAAGUCAUGAAGGACACAGAGAAUGGUCUAUUUUCUGUCCUGCGGACAAUACAAACCGGCCCUGGGUUGGAAGGCUUCCUCUCCUGGCACUGCUCCUGUCAGACUCCGCUCCUGGAGCCCUCUCAGAAUUCAGCUUGCGUCCCCCUCCUGGGCUUCUUCCAGGCCGUGCUGCCUCCGGCUGUGGACCCUGCAUGUGCAUCCCCACUCUUGCAUUACCAGAAAGCCAUCCUGUCAUCUGCCCACAGCCUUACCAGCAUCUGUCUUCCUGUCCCAUCUGGAAAGUGGGACCAGUCACCGUUACCUCCUUGAGGAGGGAAAUCUGCUCUGAGCUACUGCAUGACUGAAACAGUGGGAAGGCACACAGCUAAGUGUGAUUGAUUUAGUGCAAAGAGGUCCAUUUAACUUCAACCAACACGUGGGGGGUUUUUUUUUCUCUCUAUUCAAGUUGCUUGAAGAUCACCAACUGGUGGUUCUGGAAGC